GACUUGCUAACCGUCUCUCUUCCCAGCUGGCUCUGGACAAGUCAGAUUCCCACCCCUCUGACGCUCUGACCAGGAAAAAACCGGCCAAGGCGGUAGGUAGCCCCGAGGCCAGGUGGACCUUAGCCAGACCCAACCAGAGCCCUGAAAUUCGCCUCUCUCUGCCCAGGAAUCUAAGUCCUUUGCUGUGGGAAUGUUCAAAGGCCAGCUCACCACAGAUCAGGUGUUCCCAUACCCGUCCGUGCUCAACGAAGAGCAGACACAGUUUCUUAAAGAGCUGGUGGAGCCUGUGUCCCGUUUCUUCGAGGUAAGGAAUGACUCGGGGCUUGGUCCCUGGUGAGGUGUUUGGAGAUGUUAAGCUCAAAAGGAGCCUGGAUGUGGGAUCCUGUGCCUUCCCCAGGAAGUGAACGAUCCUGCCAAGAAUGACGCUCUGGAGAUGGUGGAGGAGACCACUUGGCAGGGCCUCAAGGAGCUGGGGGCCUUUGGUCUGCAAGUGCCCAGUGAGCUGGGUGGUGUGGGCCUUUGCAACACCCAGUACGCCCGUUUGGUGGAGAUCGUGGGCAUGCAUGACCUUGGCGUGGGCAUUACCCUGGGGGCCCACCAGAGCAUCGGUUUCAAAGGCAUCUU
rnacentral:sRNA from 1 species